UACGAGGGGGGCGAGCGUUGUUCGGAAUUAUUGGGCGUAAAGGGUAGGUAGGUGGUGACAUUUGUCUGGGGUGAAAUCCCUGAGCUUAACUCAGGACGUGCCUUGGAAACGGUGUCACUAGAGUGCUAGAGAGGUUCGUAGAAUUCCCGGUGUAGCGGUGAAAUGCGUAGAGAUCGGGAGGAAUACCAGAGGCGAAGGCGGCGAACUGGAUAGCAACUGACACUCAACUACGAAAGCGUGGGGAGCAAACAGG
rnacentral:rRNA from 1 species